UACAGAGGUCUCGAGCGUUGUUCGGAUUCAUUGGGCGUAAAGGGCGCGUAGGCGGCGGGGUAAGUCUGGUGUGAAAUCUCGGAGCUCAACUCCGAAAUUGCACUGGAUACUGCUCUGCUAGAGGGCUGGAGAGGAGAUCGGAAUUCACGGUGUAGCAGUGAAAUGCGUAGAUAUCGUGAGGAAGACCAGUGGCGAAGGCGGGGCGCUGGGCCGAUUCUGACGCUGAUACACGAAAGCGUGGGGAGCAAACAGG
rnacentral:rRNA from 1 species